rnacentral:lncRNA from 1 species
AGAAACAAUAAUAAUAAUUGAUUGAUUUUAAAGUCACCAAAUAUUUUUAACCGAAUCCCAAAAAGGAGGUGGUUCUCAAUUUGGAUGUUUGUUUUUGGUCGAAAGGGUAUAUUCCCCAUAUUUGUUAUUAGAUCCUGACCUGAUGAUAAUGGGACCACCUCGGAAGUAUACGCUAUCAAACAAAAAAAGAAUCAUCAAAAUCGAUAAAUAAAUGGCUGAGUAAUCGCGUAACAAACAUACGAAAAAAUGGUCGAAUUGAAAACCUCCGCUUUUUGGGAAGUCGGUUAAAAAUAAGUCGGCGGCGGCCAUCUUUCCUUCUUGGACCAGCUUUCGAU